AAAGUCGUAACAAGGUAACCGUAGGUGAACCUGCGGUUGGAUCAUUAACAAAUAUCCAACGGGAGGGGCAACCCUCCCUACCCCACCUUUUGUGCAAUGUAAUGUCGUUGGCGGGAUCUUUUGUGAUUGCGGUAGAGCUUGCUCCGCCGACCGCCGACAUAAAACACACCCCACUAUUUCUACACUUAACAUCUGACGUUUAUUAGCCCGCUUGUGCGUUUGCAUGAUGCUGGGAAGAUGAAUUGAAAAACAACUUUUGACAACGGAUCUCUUGGCUCUC
rnacentral:misc_RNA from 1 species